rnacentral:rRNA from 1 species
UUGCCAUCAGGUCAAGCUGGGGACUCUAAUGAAACUGCCUACGCAAGUAGUGAGGAAGGUGGGGAUGACGUCAAAUCAGCACGGCCCUUACGUCCAGGGCUACACACGUGCUACAAUGGCCGGUACAAAGGGCAGCUACCUGGUGACAGGAUGCUAAUCUCAAAAGCCGGUCUCAGUUCGGAUCGGAGUCUGCAACCCGACUCCGUGAAGUUGGAAUCGCUAGUAAUCGCGCAUCAGCCAUGGCGCGGUGAAUACGUUCCCGGGCCUU